UCUCCGUAGGUGAACCUGCGGAGGGAUCAUUACAGAGUUCAUGCCCUACCGGGUAGAUCUCCCACCCUAUGUUAUCAUUACUUUGUUGCUUUGGCGGGCCGUUAGGCUCCGGCCCGACUACCGGCCCCGGCUGGUAAGCGCCCGCCAGAGGACCCAAAACCCUGAAUAUUAGUGUCGUCUGAGUACUAUAUAAUAGUUAAAACUUUCAACAACGGAUCUCUUGGUUCUG
rnacentral:misc_RNA from 1 species